GGCCACAUCACAUUAAAACUCUGGUUCUCGUAUGAUCACUGAAGUUAAGCAAUGUUGAGCCUGGUCAGCACCUAGAUGGGUGACCACUUAGGAAUACCAGU